AUCUACGGUCAUACCAUCCUGAAUGUGUCCAAUCCCAUCUGAUCUUGGAAGCUAAGCAGGGUCGGGCCUGGUUAGUACUUGAAUAGGAGAAACCAGAAAUCUUUAUUUU
rnacentral:rRNA from 1 species